rnacentral:rRNA from 1 species
GACGAACGCUGGCGGCGUGCUUAACACAUGCAAGUCGAACGAUGAAGCUAGAGCUUGCUCUGGUGAAUUAGUGGCGAACGGGUGAGUAACACGUGAGUAACCUGCCCCGAACUCUGGGAUAACUGCUGGAAACGGUAGCUAAUACUGGAUACGACCUACGAAGGCAUCUUCUGUAGGUGGAAAGAAUUUCGGUUCGGGAUGGACUCGCGGCCUAUCAGCUUGUUGGUGAGGUAAUGGCUCACCAAGGCGACGACGGGUAGCCGGCCUGAGAGGGUGGCCGGCCACACUGGGACUGAGACACGGCCCAGACUCCGACGGGAGGCAGCAGUGGGGAAUAUUGCACAAUGGGCGCAAGCCUGAUGCAGCAACGCCGCGUGAGGGAUGACGGCCUUCGGGUUGUAAACCUCUUUUAGUAGGGAAGAAGCGAAGGUGACGGUACCUGCAGAAAAAGCACCGGCUAACUACGUGCCAGCAGCCGCGGUAA